UACGUAGGGUGCAAGCGUUAUCCGGAAUUAUUGGGCGUAAAGAGCUCGUAGGCGGUUUGUCGCGUCUGCUGUGAAAACCCGAGGCUCAACCUCGGGCCUGCAGUGGGUACGGGCAAACUAGAGUGCGGUAGGGGAGAUUGGAAUUCCUGGUGUAGCGGUGGAAUGCGCAGAUAUCAGGAGGAACACCAAUGGCGAAGGCAGAUCUCUGGGCCGUAACUGACGCUGAGGAGCGAAAGCAUGGGGAGCGAACAGG
rnacentral:rRNA from 1 species